UACGUAGGUGGCGAGCGUUGUCCGGAUUUAUUGGGUUUAAAGGGUGCGUAGGCGGCUUUGUAAGUCAGUGGUGAAAUACUCUAGCUUAACUAGAGGGGUGCCAUUGAUACUGCGGAGCUUGAGUACAGAUGAGGUAGGCGGAAUUGACGGUGUAGCGGUGAAAUGCAUAGAUAUCGUCAAGAACACCGAUAGCGAAGGCAGCUUACUGGGCUGUAACUGACGCUGAGGCACGAAAGUGUGGGGAGCAAACGGG
rnacentral:rRNA from 1 species